GAUGAAGCAGAAGGCGGCGCUGCGGGAGGCGUACAAGAAGAAGAAUCUGCUCCCGCUCGACCUCCGCCCCAAGAAGACCCGCGCCAUCCGCAGGCGCCUCACCAAGCACCAGCUCUCUUUGAAGACCGAGAGGGAGAAGAAGCGUGAAAAGUAUUUCCCCAUGAGGAAGUAUGCUAUCAAGGCCUAGAUUAGCGAAAG